rnacentral:rRNA from 1 species
UACGUAUGGUGCAAGCGUUAUCCGGAUUUACUGGGCGUAAAGGGAGCGCAGGCGGCGCGCCAAGUCUGAUGUGAAACCCCGGGGCUCAACCCCGGGCAUGCAUUGGAAACUGGCGGGCUGGAGUGCCGGAGAGGUAAGCGGAAUUCCUAGUGUAGCGGUGAAAUGCGUAGAUAUUAGGAGGAACACCAGUGGCGAAGGCGGCUUACUGGACGGCAACUGACGCUGAGGCUCGAAAGCGUGGGGAUCGAACAGG